AGUGGGGAAUCUUAGACAAUGGGCGCAAGCCUGAUCUAGCCAUGCCGCGUGAGUGAUGAAGGCCUUAGGGUUGUAAAGCUCUUUCGCCAGGGAUGAUAAUGACAGUACCUGGUAAAGAAACCCCGGCUAACUCCGUGCCAGCAGCCGCGGUAAUACGGAGGGGGUUAGCGUUGUUCGGAAUUACUGGGCGUAAAGCGCACGUAGGCGGCUUUGUAAGUUAGAGGUGAAAGCCUGGAGCUCAACUCCAGAAUUGCCUUUAAGACUGCAUCGCUUGAAUCCAGGAGAGGUGAGUGGAAUUCCGAGUGUAGAGGUGAAAUUCGUAGAUAUUCGGAAGAACACCAGUGGCGAAGGCGGCUCACUGGCUCGAUACUGACGCUGAGGUGCGAAAGUGUGGGGAGCAAACAGGAUUAGAUACCCU
rnacentral:rRNA from 1 species